CUCAAGAGUGAUGAAUGCCUGGCGUGAGGGCUGAAAGUACGAACCAAAAGCAGAGACAUGAAAUGGGAGACAAGAAGGAAACAUUCUGCUGACUUCACCGUUUUCUUGGAGAGCUGAGCAGCUGGAAGUCAGAAGAGGCAAAGGCACAAUGAAACAGCCAGCAACUGCUGAAUAGAAGCCAAACCUUUUCUCCUGAGCUGUACCGCUGUACCUUCCUCCCUGGAGUCUCUCUCCUCCUCCAUACAUUUGGUUUAUAAACACCUUCUGCUUUCUGCAUGAGCUCAGAGCCAGGCCAGCCCUUCUUUCCCUUUCUCAUGGUAGGCCUUCUGCUUUGCUGUGUCUGCUCUUUGCUUUGAGGGUCCCCGUUGUCUCUUGCCAGUUGCCUGUGUUUUCUAUGCUGUUUGGAAGUAAAAGACAGACAGACAGGAAGCCAUCAGCCAUGCCUCCAAAAGGGAAAUCUGGUUUUCAUAUAGGACACCAAGCAGCUGGGGUGGCAUCCAGGCACCUGGGCUCUGAGUCCCCUGCUUCUGGUGCCCAGGUGUGAUGUGUUGCUGGCUGCCUCCUGGCUUUUGAUCACUGCUCUGCAGCACCACAGCUUUCCCAACACUUCUCGAGCAGACUGUGAUUUAAAUGGCCCUUCCCUCAGCCUUGUGCAUACCCUGAUAACACACAGCGCUGGUGCAGUCCACCAGGAGCCUCUCAGAUGAAUCACUGCCCAAGGAAAUGGUGCUUUCAACCAGGCCACUCCUCCAAAGCUACACAAGUAUGCGUGUAAAUCUUCAAAUCCAGUCUUGUAUUUGCGUCAUUCAAAAAUGCGUGAUCACAGUGCUGUACUGGAUUGAAAGCAAGAAACCCUUCACCAGGUGCAAACCCUCAGUCUUGGACUUUCCAGAGAAGGCAAAAGAGAAGCUAACUGCCCAGUGAGCAGAGCGGAUGGUCCCUCGAUUCCAGGGAGUCAGGAUGUUGUGUCUCCUCUCCCAGGUCUCUUCUCCCUCACACUGAUGUCCUUCAGUCGAGCUAAGCAAGAACAUCCAACAAACCAAGGCAGCGGAGCAUGCAUGUGUGUAGGUGGAAAGAAUGACCUUUUCUAUGUCCUGCCCAACCUUCAAAGAUGCUCUUAAAUGGCAUGCCCCAGCUGCUGGCAUGCAUUUGGAAAAGCAACUCAAAGCUAACUGCUUGCCCCUGGAAUCCCAUUUAUCCAGAAAAAUUCAAA